rnacentral:rRNA from 1 species
AAUCAACGCUGGCGGCGUGCCUCAGACAUGCAAGUCGAACGAUUAAAGCUCUCUUCGGAGAGUGUAUAGAGUGGCGCACGGGUGAGUAACACGUAAGUAAUCUACCUUCGAGUGGGGAUAACGUCCGGAAACGGACGCUAAUACCGCAUAAUGCAGCGGCAUCGCAAGAUGACAGUUGUUAAAGAUUUAUCGCUUGAAGAGGAGCUUGCGGCAGAUAGCUAGUCGGUAAGGUAAUGGCUUACCAAGGCUACGAUCUGUAACCGGUCUAAGAGGACGGUCGGUCACACUGACACUGAAUAACGGGUCAGACUCCUACGGGAGGCAGCAGUCGGGAAUUUUUGGGCGAAUGGGCGAAAGCCUGACCCAGCAACGCCGCGUGAAGGAUGAAGUAAUUUCGGUA